rnacentral:rRNA from 1 species
AGUCAAGUAAUUAAGUGCAUGUGGUGGAUGCCUUGGCAGUCAGAGGCGAUGAAAGACGUGAUAGCCUGCGAAAAGCUCCGGGGAGGCGGCAAAUAUCCUUUGAUCCGGAGAUGUCUGAAUGGGGGAACCCACCUACUUUAAGGUAGGUAUUGCAACAUGAAUACAUAGUGUUGCAAGGCGAACGAGGGGAAGUGAAACAUCUCAGUACCCUUAGGAAAAGAAAUCAAUUGAGAUUCCCUCAGUAGCGGCGAGCGAACGGGGAUCAGCCCAUUAAGUUAUGUGUGUUUUAGUGGAACGCUCUGGGAAGUGCGAACGUAGAGGGUGAUAUUCCCGUACACGAAAGGGCAC